UUGACCUCAAAUCGGGUGAGACUACCCGCUGAACUUAAGCAUAUCAAUAAGCGGAGGAAAAGAAACUAACAAGGAUUCCCCUAGUAACUGCGAGUGAAGCGGGAAAAGCUCAAAUUUAAAAUCUGGUGGCCUUUUGGCCAUCCGAGUUGUAAUUUAGAGAAGCGUCUUCCGCGCUGGACCGUGCACAAGUCUCCUGGAAUGGAGCGUCGUAGAGGGUGAGAAUCCCGUCUUUGGCACGGAUGCACCAGGGCUUCUGUGAUGCGCUCUCGAAGAGUCGAGUUGUUUGGGAAUGCAGCUCAAAAUGGGUGGUGAACUCCAUCUAAAGCUAAAUAUUGGCGAGAGACCGAUAGCGAACAAGUACCGUGAGGGAAAGAUGAAAAGCACUUUGGAAAGAGAGUGAAACAGUACGUGAAAUUGUUGAAAGGGAAACGCUUGAAGUCAGUCGCGUCGCCCGAGACUCAGCCUCGCCUCGGCUUGGUGUACUUCUCGGCCGACGGGUCAGCAUCAAUUUUGCCCCUCGGAUAAUGGCGAGGGAAAUGUGACACCUUUGCGGGUGUGUUAUAGUCUUUCGUCGCAUGCGAGGGUCGGGAUUGAGGAACUCAGCACGCGCCUUUGGGCGUCGGGGUUUUUGCCCACGAUACGUGCUUAGGAUGUUGGCGUAAUGGCUUUAAACGACCCGUC
rnacentral:rRNA from 2 species